GGCAGUGUGGUCUCAGUCAGAGGCUCACAAAGUCUCUUGUUCUCAAUGUGCAGCUCUGCUUAGAGCUUCCUGAAGCCUCCCUAGGGCUCUUCUGAUUCAGGCUGGGGUUCUGGGUGGAGGUCCCGGUG